rnacentral:rRNA from 1 species
UACAGAGGUCCCAAGCGUUGUUCGGAUUCAUUGGGCGUAAAGGGUGCGUAGGCGGCGCGGUAAGUCGGGUGUGAAAUCUCGGAGCUUAACUCCGAAACUGCAUUCGAUACUGCUGUGCUUGAGGACUGGAGAGGAGACUGGAAUUUACGGUGUAGCGGUGAAAUGCGUAGAUAUCGUAAGGAAGACCAGUGGCGAAGGCGGGUCUCUGGACAGUUCCUGACGCUGAGGCACGAAGGCCAGGGGAGCAAACGGG